UACGUAGGGGGCAAGCGUUAUCCGGAAUUAUUGGGCGUAAAGCGCGCGCAGGUGGUUUCUUAAGUCUGAUGUGAAAGCCCACGGCUCAACCGUGGAGGGUCAUUGGAAACUGGGAGACUUGAGUGCAGAAGAGGAAAGUGGAAUUCCAUGUGUAGCGGUGAAAUGCGUAGAGAUAUGGAGGAACACCAAUGGCGAAGGCGACUUUCUGGUCUGCAACUGACACUGAGGCGCGAAAGCGUGGGGAGCAAACAGG
rnacentral:rRNA from 1 species